AUCCUUUUGUAGUUCAUGAGUGUGAUGACUGGGUGUUCACGCAGUUGUGUGACAUGCGCCUCUCUCAAACCUUGUUACGACACUGGCACGUUACCCGUCUGAUG